GCUGCCCAAGAAAGAAACCCUCUAUGACAUCCAGUUGUGCUAUUUGAUGCCAGCAAUUGAGGCCUACAGAGAGCAGGAGAAGAACCUGGUGUCGAUGUUGAGAAGGAAAAACCUGGCAGGUGGAGAGGUGGAGCUGUGUGGGGACGGGCAGUGGGAUGGCCCUGGAAACUCCUGCAGAUACCAAACCUAUGCGUUUAUGGAUGCUGCCACCAAAGAAAUAAUCCAUUUUGAUUUGAUGAAGGGGACCUAAGCAAAGUGGAGCUGGUCCCCACAGACCGACAUGUUUCCUUAAGGAAGAUAAUGGAAGAAGGGUUAGAGGUGCAGGAUGGGACAGAAGGCCCCACCAAGGAGCUUGGCAUCAUGCAUGCCUUUGAUCCAUGGCUGACCACUAAAGGCAAGUACUCCAUUACAUUAUUGUGGUAUGGUUUGAUCGGUGCCCACCAGUUAGAAGGCCUACUAGAGACAGCACUGAGGUGAGAGAUGUAUUCACAUCAGUAGUACAUAUAUAUGUUUAAUAUUACCGUACAGUCUGCUGUUUUCUUUGGCAGUACAAUUCUGCUGCUGUUGAAACUGCUCACAGCCUCAAAGCGUGAGAGCAAUGAGGAGCUGUACCCCUGUAUCCAGUGGGUCCAACCACAUGUGGUGUUGAUGCAGCUCAUCGAAGGGAGACGCACAGGAGCUUAUCAGACGGGGGAGGUCCGUACUCUAACACAUCCGUGGGGUCCAUCGCUGGGUGGAGGCGGGGUUGGAGUCCUGCUGCUACCAUGAGCCGCUGCCUGUGGUGGCCCAGCGCAGGAAGAGCUGGCUUGAGGAGGACCCCCGGCCUUCAGGGCCCUCAGGGUCAUCCACCACAACCUGUUGCUGGCAGACCUUCAACACAUGGUGCUGUUGAGGAACUACGCUACCCGUCCAUGAAGUGCAGAACCAUGCUGGCCGUCCUGGACUGGAACCAGGCACUCAGGGAGGGCAGCCAGCAGGACGCCACUGCAGCAGGUCAAACAUCCACUAUCUGCAUGGUGUUCUAGUGUUUGAGAGACCCAGUCAUAAGGGCAAGAUGGAUUUCACUGCACAACCGUAGUUGUUUUUAAUAUCAGUGUAUUUCUAUGUGAUAUAAUACUGUUUGUAUGUCUGUGUGACUAAACGUGAUAAAAAGGUCAA
ensembl:lncRNA